rnacentral:rRNA from 1 species
AGCGAACGCUGGCGGCAGGCUUAACACAUGCAAGUCGAGCGGAGCGAGGGUGCUUGCACCUUAGCUUAGCGGCGGACGGGUGAGUAAUGCUUAGGAAUCUGCCUAUUAGUGGGGGACAACAUUCCGAAAGGGAUGCUAAUACCGCAUACGCCCUACGGGGGAAAGCAGGGGAUCACUUGUGACCUUGCGCUAAUAGAUGAGCCUAAGUCGGAUUAGCUAGUUGGUGGGGUAAAGGCCUACCAAGGCGACGAUCUGUAGCGGGUCUGAGAGGAUGAUCCGCCACACUGGGACUGAGACACGGCCCAGACGCCUACGGGAGGCAGCAGUGGGGAAUAUUGGACAAUGGGGGGAACCCUGAUCCAGCCAUGCCGCGUGUGUGAAGAAGGCCUUUUGGUUGUAAAGCACUUUAAGCGAGGAGGAGGCGCUCUAGGUUAAUACCCUAGAUGCGUGGACGUUACUCGCAGAAUAAGCACCGGCUAACUCUGUGCCAGCCGCCGCAGUAACAC